rnacentral:misc_RNA from 1 species
UAUUUUGUCAAGAUGGAACUAGUUGAAUAUAGUCUGCGCAGCAGUUUAAUGUAUCUAAAUGAAAUCGUCAAAAAAUAAGCCAUUGGAAGAGGUUUUGGAUACAGAGUUUGCACUCUGUGGACUAAAGAAUCAAUCCAUCCAAAGAAAAAGGGAAAAAAGAUCUGAGAAUCCUUGUUGAACAAAAUUCUCAACAUUUCAUCACAGAAGUUAAAAUUUUCAAGCAUUAUUAUGCUUAAUUUGAUUCCACACUUGCAAUAUAUUUCAAUCUUUUUCCUGGCAUUGUAGCUGCUAUUCAAUCUCAUGAGAAUUAAACUCGUCAAGAAUGUAAAGGCAACACUUCCAAAUCCACUAAACUAAAGAAAAUUUAAAUUGAUGAGUGGAAUGUGACAUAAAGAUUAGUAGGGAAAGCAACAGAUAUAUAAUUAUAUGACCUUUACCAGGUUUAUAAAUUAAAACAUGAUUAAAUUCUUACAUUGACAAAAGAAGAAGUUGGAA